UACGGAGGGAGCUAGCGUUGUUCGGAAUCAUUGGGCGUAAAGCGCGCGUAGGCGGCCCGGUAAGUCCGCUGUAAAAGUCAAAGGCUCAACCUUUGAAUGUCAGUGGAUACUGCCGGGCUAGAGUCCGGAAGAGGCGAGUGGAACUCCUGGUGUAGCGGUGGAAUGCGCAGAUAUCAGGAGGAACACCGGUGGCGAAGGCGGUUCUCUGGGAAUGUCCUGACGCUGAGGAGCGAAAGUGUGGGGAGCGAACAGG
rnacentral:rRNA from 1 species